rnacentral:lncRNA from 1 species
AGCUAGCCUUCAGAUUUGUCUGCUAACAGUAAAAAUACUAUAAUAAAUCGGUAACAUAUGUUGCCAGGCAAGGAAAAGUGAUAUAAAUAAAGAGACUGGGAGACCCAAACCAAGUACAAUGUGAAAAGAAUUUAAAUUUCAAUCUAUUUGCUGGCUAAUUACCAUUUGAAAAGUAAUUUGAAAGUUUUACUGUUAUUUGCUGAUAUUCUUCCUCAUUUUUCUUUUUUUCCUCUUCAGAUUGCAUUCUUACCCAAAUACUCUUCGUGAUUGCCUGCUUUGCGGCUUUGGGCCGAUGCAAGCUGCAAAAUGGCGAGUCUUCUAAGGUGCCUUUCCUUCCCUGGGAUCCUCAUCUUAGAAUGAGCAGAGGCACAUCGAUAAGAACUGGACCUUGAUUUCACAACCUCAUACAAAGCCAGGCAAUUCUUGAGCCAAACAAAGGGGGUGUAAGCUAUUUCAUUUAUUUUGAUAAUCCUCCUCUUGCACGGGAGCAUUUUGCUGUCUUUGUCAAAGUGAAUGACAACAAUUUGGCCAACUCUCUCUGAGCUGCACUCA